UGCGUAGGCGGACUAAUAAGUCAGUGGUGAAAUCUUUCGGCUCAACCGGGAAACUGCCAUUGAUACUGCUAGUCUUGAGUUCGGUUGAGGUAGGCGGAAUGUGUAAUGUAGCGGUGAAAUGCUUAGAUAUUACACAGAACACCAAUUGCGUAGGCAGCUUACUAGACCGACACUGACGCUGAGGCACGAAAGCGUGGGGAGCGAACAGGAUUAGAUACCCUGGUAGUCC
rnacentral:rRNA from 1 species